rnacentral:tRNA from 1 species
CAGAGAAUAGUUUAAAUAAAAUAUUAGUUUUGGGAAUUAAGGAUAAAGAGUAUUUCUUUUUCUCUGA